rnacentral:misc_RNA from 1 species
GGCUGGUGGUUAGUUGGCAAAGUAUUAAAUUGUGUUUAGGUAACGUUGAUAACACUAACACAAUUUCUAGGUUAUUUAAUGAAGCAAAGCUUAAGGUAUGUUCCUGUUUACUAGCGUGCAUGUUGGAGGGUCUGAGCAAACAGUUGAGGAACAUAAUGAACAUUUGAAAGGUGCUAAUUUUGAUGAUCAACAGCUCAGAAUUUAAGUACAUUUGUAAUGCCUUCUGCUUACACAACACAUGUACCUCCUUCCAGCACACCAGCAAUUUCAACGACCACUGGAAUCAUGGAGGAUUUGAUGAUGUUGAAGCUUGUAUCUAUGGGUCUUGUGUUUCUUUCUACAUUCCUAGGUGCCUUAUCUCCAUUGAUCCUUUUCCGAUCCAAAAGCAAAUUCAAAUCUGGGCCUGUUGAACGGAAUUUUAAAGGGCGGAUCUUAAGCUUUUGCAAUUGCUUGGCAGGUGGUGUAUUCCUUGCAACAUGUUUCCUUGGAUUGUUUCCUGCGGCACAGACACAAGUGCAACAAAUCGUUAAAGAAAGACACAUUGACACUGAUUAUCCUGUUUGUGAAUUGCUGGUCAUUGUUGGUUUCUUUUUGAUUCUCAUUUUUGAAAAAUGCGUCAUCACGUGCACAAUGAAGGAAAAAACAACCCUAGAUGAAAUAGAGAUGACUAGAAGAGACACACGAUUGAAUGAAAUUAGUGAACAUUCAAGCGAAGAAGAAAUAUUUAGUAGUCAUGAAUCGGACAGAUUACCAAUGCUUAAAAAUGGUAGCAUACCAAAGCGCCAUCAUAAUCAUCAUCAGAACCAUAGUGGGCAUAGUCAUCUUGGUGAUGGAAGACAAAUAAAUAGUCUGCGAUCUUUAGUUCUACUUCUUGCACUGUCAAUACACUCUGUAUUCGAAGGUAUGGCUUUGGGAUUACAGACUGAAUCUCGCACGAUUUGGUAUCUUUUAAUCGCUAUGAUAGUGCACGAAUCGUUAGCAGCAUUUGCUUUAGGAGCCAGCUUAUUGAAAUCACAUGCUACCAAGAGAGUCUUUGUAUUAUAUGGACUGAUAUUCUCAACAAUGAUUCCAAUUGGAAUUGUGCUUGGAUUAGGCGUGAGUUCAGCACAGGGUGUCACGGCCCAUGCAUGUUCAGCCGUCCUGCAAGCCUUCGCUGCUGGUAUUUUCAUUUAUGUAACUUUUUUUGAAAUAUUAAAUCACGAAUAUGAAAAUGAAAGUGACGGGCUUUGGAAGGUAUUUUUCACUGCUAUUGGAUUUGGGUUCCUUGCAGUUUUUGAAGCAGUGGGGUGAAAUGUAUGAUUUCAACCAUAGAGAAAGAAAAUAACAAAAUCCCUAAAUAUAUUUUAAACAUAAAUUUAUAAUUUUAGGUUUGCAUAAAGUAAAAAUUCUCCAAUUACUAUGGUAAACUUUCAUGCUUGUUUUGUUUUACAAUAUAAAUAAUGAUCUAAUCAGUUUCAAACUGUAUACUUUCCUAUUGUGUUUGUGAAAAAAGACAAGCUGUAGGCCUACUAUUGGGCUAGUCUCAUCUUUAAGUGAUGGGAGAAUAUAUUGAAUUUUGGGACUAGCAUCAAAUUUAGGUCUGACAAACUAGCUUUUGAACUUAGUUUGGUCUUCUUCUGGUUUACAGACUUAUGUCACACCUGCAAAAUUGUUGAUGACAUAUAGUGUCAUACAAUAGAGAAAAUAUGGUCAUACUGUAGGAGUCCUUUUUAAUUGAGUGGAGUUGAAUAGCUUGGUGGUUAAGAUGCCUGGGUUCAAUUCCUGUCAGUGUUGCAUUAUUAUUUUAUCACAACUAAAACAACUCCACUUCUCUAAACCUCAUAUUGAGAUUUAGUUUGUAAAGCAUCAUGUAUCAAUGUUAUUCUUGUCAAAGGAAUUGUCACCUACAAGUAGGACAGCGAUAUAUUCACUAUUGACAGUCCUUGAUGCAUGUGUUAAUGUGUGCCUAAAGUAAAUAAAAUAAAAUCAUUUGUUGUGGUAAAAGUGGAUGUUUGUAAUGAUGUUUUUAUUUAUUAUUUGAUUCAUCAUGUACCUUGUAUACAUUGUUUGUUUUUUUUCUUUUUUGAACUCUUUUUUUUGAAGAUCAUUUUUAUUUCAUAAAUUAUUGAUUUUGUAUUUUAAAGAUUUUGUAAUACUUUGUUUUUCAACUGUUGGUACAGGGGCGGAUCCAGUGUAAUACUUUGAGAAUACUUAUUUUUAGCAGGGAACAGUGAAAUUUCACUGUUUCUUUGUUUUAGAGGUUUAAUUUGUUUUAAUCCACCAGAAAUUGCCACAUUAUACAGACACUGUAUAUUUAUGAUUCACAAUACAUCCAUUUUUUAUUUUUGGCCAUGAAUACCUCAAUGCUAAGAUGGAUUCCAUCUGUAAUGGAGUUCUAAACACAUUGUACUUGCAUUACUGUAUAUCACAGCUGAAACCAAACACCUGCAUUCCUAUUGGGAUCAGCUUAAAGGUAAUAAGCAAGAAGGUAUGAACAUGAUUCACUGUAAAAUUAUAGUGAUGGUCCCUGGGAGUAAAAAGUGAACAAACUGUAAUUCUCUUUCUCCAAGUCAUGUUCAAUAGGGCGUAGUUGGCCCUUAACUGGACAUGUCAUGCUCAGGGGCAGAUCCAGAAAUGUCCAAAAGGGAGGCCGAAAGUGGGGCCGAUCGAGAUAACACACCCUAGGGGUCCGGGGAAUUCCCCCGUGCAAUUUUUGUUUUCUAGAUGCCCGAAAAUAACUUCUGAGGUGUUUUGGACAAUCAAUUUUUUCUUUUUCUUUUUUUUAACUUUCCAAAAGAGUAGAGGGGGGGGGGCCACCCAAGGCCCCCUUAAAUCCGUCCCUGACGCUAGGUGCUGUGAGAGACUGGUAUCAAAUUACAUUAAUUUCAUAUUCCCUUAGAACUGUUUACACAAAUUCACUCACUUGCAUUACAGGCCUACUAUACGUGGGGCUUGCCCAAAACCAAACACCUGUUGUGUUCCACUUGGGAUCAGUGUAAAGGUAUUUGCCAGGAGGUUAUCAAACAAAAUCAUGCACUACUAUAAUAAGUGGUGGUUCCUUGGAGUAAAAGUUGAACACAUACUGUAGAACAUUCUCUUUCUCCAAUUCAUGUUCAGUAGCCGGCGAGCCUUGUUGUAUGAUCACUGUUACCCUAGGUAUUGUGGGACUAUAAAUUCAUUGUACAUUGUGUGAUAACUUUUAUUUAGCACUACAGUAAUGAAUUGUGCUCAGCUAUUAAAUGUGGCGAAAACAAGCCAAACCAGUCACUUCUCAAAAAUCAUGUUUUCGAGAUACAGUAAUGGUUAAAACAUGUUGGAAUGUCAACAUUUUCGAAAUCUAUUUUAUUGCAGUAAACUAAACAUUAUGUACCUACAUCAUGCUAUGUUACUAUUUUCCUCAUUUUUCUAUGUUAAAACAACAUUCUUUAACAAUGUUUUUUUCUCUCUGUGAAAAGUCUGAAAUCAUAAAAUUUAAAGGCUUAAUUAUUUCUCAAUUACUGUUAUUUAAAUGCUAUGAAGACAUAACAAAAUUUCAGAUUUAAAUGAUUCUUUAACACUGUUAUAACUUUCAUUUUAGUACUGUGUAUUAAUUAUAAUAACUACAUACAUGUAACAAAAUCUAUUUUUUGCGAGGUGACUGGUUUGGCUUGUCUUAGCCACAAAUGGUAUGAAUUGUAUUACAGUACUUUCAUAUUCCCAUCUGUUGGAAAAUUAUUCAUGACAAGUGAUAACAAUAUGUUAUUAUCUGCUAAAUAUUAUUUCUAAUUGCUUUGGUUAUCAUUGUCUUAAUUUUUUUUUGUAUUUAACUGAGUUAAAAAUAUUUAUAGCAUGGUUAUACCCACAGUAAGAUUGUAUUAGGUUUACAAUUUAUAAUAUGAAGUGAAAUUGGUUAGUAUCAAAAUGCUGUUUUCCAGUUUGCCAACAAAAAUAAUGCAAUCACUCAUUUAAUAUUUUUUAUACAUUUGUGCUAUUUAUUUACAUUUGCUUUUGAAUAUGCUGUAUUUUAUGUCAUAAAAUUUCGGUUUGGUGUGAAUUGUAUUUUAAUUAUAUAUUUUAAUAGAAUUGGUAUAAAUUGCCAAGAAAUUCAAUUUAUUUUCAGAUAGUUUAGUGAUAAGGUGCUCUUUUGAAAUAAGUGUUUAUUUCAUUUUAAUAUAUUUCAAACAUUGAUUAAUUUAAAUUUGUGAAUGAGUCAGCAAAAAGCAAAUGUUUGCUUUUUUAAAUGAACAUAAAAAUUGUAUUAUUAUAUUAUUGAGAAAAUGUAAAUUUAUCUGAAUAUGAACAGCUUGCACUAGUGACAUUCUAAACAGACGAUGAAAAAUGACAUCAUAUCAUGACCAUAUAUGGUCAUACUACCAUUUUUUGUCAAAAGUCUAUGCAAAGACAGGCAUUUUGUUAAUUAUUAUAGCAGUAAACAUGAUUUAAUUGGUGAGGGAAUCGUAAGUAAUUCAUGUUUUAAUUAAAAAGUUUAAAAUAAAAUUUAUAUGGCAGUAUAUAUGUAAUCAUUAAAACUAAAAAUUCUAUUGAUAAUUGAAUUUCGUUUUAGUAGCUACUGUACUGGCACAUCAAACAAUAUGGUUACAAUCCAAGAAAAGGUUUGGAUUUUAACAGGAAAAUAAUGAUUAACUAAGUAUGCACACUUAAUCGUAACAAUGACUUUGUCAGCUGUCGGAUCAUUUGCAUAUGACGUCUUUUGUAUGAUUAUGUGACAAGUUCAGUAUAUCUGUGGGCUACUCAAACAAGACCAUAUAUUUUCAAAAAGAACCAAAUAUAAACAAAUAUAGAAUAAUGUGUAUCAAGAUAAAAAAGCUGGUUUUGCUAUUAUUUCAUUUUGAAAUUCAAUAAAACCGUGUGAUUUAA